GGCCGGAAGACAAGUACCCCCUGAAGGUCGAAAGAGAUGCCAUCUGGGUACCAUGUAGCAGUUACGUCAGACUGGGAUACUUCCUGUUUACAGGAGACUAUAAAACCCCUGCCUCGCCCUCAUCUGGGGCUGAUGCCAUUUUAGGCCUCAGCCUGUUUAUAUCCAGACGUGGCGUGUUGCUCCACACUGCCUUGUGUUGUUUGUUGGCGUGCUCUCGGGGUUCAAACCAGUAAUAGUGAGAGACAGAGCCUUGCAGCUUGAACCUGGGAGACGGAGGUUGCAGUGAGCUGAGAUCGCACUCCAGCCUGGGCUACCGCGUGAGACUCCAUCUCAAAAAAAGAAAAAAGUGAGGAAACUGAGCCUCAGAGAGUCCCACACAAACACCCAAGGGGCUACACAGCUGGAUGCUGCAGAGUGAGAAUUGCAUCAGCCUGAGGCCCAAAGUCAAAGCCAAAGGGAUUCACUCUUAAUUACCUGAGGAAACAAUGAUAGCCUCCCCUGAGACAGUUGCCAGACAAGACACUGCUUAUUCCCCUCAGGACUCACGUCCACCACCACUUUUUGCUUCUUGACCUCUAAUUAGAUACAAGUCUCAGCAGACCCUUAAAGUCUUUGAAGAUAUACCAACUCUUCUUGGUCACAGAUUCUUAGAAGAACCAGACAGAAGUGGAUAGGAUUUCCCAGGGGAAAUCAGAGUGAGGAACAAUAAAUGUGAGUAAAGAUUAUUGCUCAAGAGUGGCUUUUGACAUACAUGGCAUCAGAGAAGAACCUGAAUUGAAAUAGAAACCAGGCAGAAAAGGAGGCCAUCUGUUCUACCUAGUAUCACCUGGCAUAUAGUAUCCCCACCAACAGGGGUAAGCACUGCAGGAAAAAAUUCUACCACCAGAAGCUUUGCAACUCCAAAAGCAGCGUUGUAUGGGACAAGGUGCCAAGAUUAUCUACAAGAUAAUUUCAGAGCAGAGAGAUGUUGGAGGAGGAUUUUAGAAAAAUACUUGAGAAUGCCAGAACAGACCAAAGCUCCAACAGAUCACAGAAGUACCUGGCAAAGGGCCCCAUGGCAAGGGACCUCUGAAGACCUGCACAUUGAGGAGAAGGUGUCUCUCCUUGACCACUCUCCAGCUGGCAGUGCCUUUAACAUCCUCAGGUACCAGCCUAGAUACCACAUGCUUCAUUCAGAAAGCUUUCCUCACCGCCCAGGUUUUGGCAGAUUGCCUCUUGUGUUUCCACGGCAUCUUGCCUUCACUUGUCACAGCACUAGUCUUGCUGUGUUCAAGUCAGCUGUUGUGUGUUUGGAUUCAUGUGGCUGUGGAUUCAAAAUGGACAUAGAGGGUGAGUGAAUAAAUGAAUGAGUAAUGUUGCCUACUUUGCUCAAGGCCAACCAAGCAUGAGUUCCCCGAUAACUUUAGUUUCAAAGAAAGCACAGAUCUGCCUUCAGCACAGAUUUUCACAUAUUCCCAAUGAAUAUUCUUCCACUGGGAUUACUCUGGUUUCCUUCAGUCCAUGAAAUAUGACUUAUUUUGGCUAUUGGAACAGAAUAAAGAAAACACAUGGUUUUCAGGAACUGCUUAAUAGAUAGUUAGGAGGGACGAUCCCAUGAUAAUCAGGCUCCUCUCAGCCUGUAAGUUCCAGUGAAUCUUUCCAAGCCAGCUCUGUGUGGUGUAUUCAGGAAAAUGCUCAACUCUCAUGGUUCUGUGGGUCCAAAGACAAUGCUAUUGGUGAUGCAAGAAGAUACUAAAACCGUGUAGUUGCCUCCUUAAAACUCACUUAGAAAAGUCCUUGUGCAGUGCAUUAAAACAAAAGUCAGGACCUGAAAAAUCUGCAGAAGAAUGGGGAAGAAUGCAAGCAUUAAUGCCUCAGAGAUCUUGAAUUAAACCUCAGGUCUGCUCCUUAUCAGCUGCAUUAUCUCACAUUAGUUUUUUAUAUUCUAUGAGUCUCACUCUCCUCUACUGUAAAAUGAAGAUAGUCUAUGUUGUUAGGUCAAAUGAUAUGAUGCAUGUUGGGGACAUAAUAGGCUUCCAGCUAUUUGCUUUUCUCAAAACCAUGCCUGGGAUUUAACAUAGUUUAAUCUUAAAAGAUGCAUAAUUAUAAUAAUAUACACACCAAAGAACAUCCCAUAUGAAGUGGAGACAAAAAGUCAGUAGGAGCAGAUACCUCUUCUGAAAAUGUUCCUUUAAACCAGUGCUUUUCAACCUUGGGCAUAAACCAUGCUCACCUACAAGACUUGUUAAAAUAAAGAUUGAUGGCCCCAGCACCCAGAGUAUCUGCUGAAAUAAGUAUGGUUUAGGGCUAGAAAGUUUGUAUUUCUAACAAGCUCCUAGGUAGCAGGGAUGCUUUCAGCCCUCAGACCACGUAUUCUGGGUGUCUUGAAAAUAUCAAGACCAAUGCCCAGCACCUAUAACACUCCCUGGCACAAAGCGAAGACUUGGUAUGAAUAAAUUUCAUUUUGGAAUCCACUAAGAAGUGCCCAUGAAAGCAGUGGAGGGACUGCACAUUUCUGGAGAACAAGCCCCAGACUGUCCUCAGUUGCAGUAUACCCAUGCAAAAUCCUUCAGAGCCUCAGCAUUGCCUAUUGGCUCAUUACUCUCUAAAAGUAUAUUAUUCUCAGUCAGGUGUGGUGGCUCAUGCCUGUAAUCCUUUGGGAGACCUUGCAAGGCAGGCAGGUCACCACAUCAGGAGUUCGAGACCAGCCUGACCAACAUGGUGAAACCCCGUCUCUACUAAAAAUACAAAAAUUAGCUGGGUGUGGUGGCGUGUGCCUGUAAUCCCAGCUACUCAGAAGGCUGAGAGAGGAGAAUCGCUUGAACCCAGGAGGCAGAGGUUGUGGCGAGCCAAGAUCACACCACUGCACUCCAGCCUGGGCAACAGGCGAGACUCCAUCUAAAAAUAUAUAUACAUGUAUUAUUCUCUUUUAAAUUAAAAGUUAAUUUUUCUUAUAUUUAACUUAAGUUCUGAGAAUGUUCUAAUAUAUUAUGUUUCUAAGAGUACCCCUUCAUUUUCAAAAUUUGAGGUACAGAAGGGCAUGGAAUAGAAUGAGCCAGGAGGCAGAAAUGAAAACAGAGUCUGCUCAGAUAUGAUUUUACCCAAAAGUAGGUCCUCUAUCUCUGUUUCCACUGAAGACAUGAAGAAGAGAAUGGCUAGAACACAGACCUCAAAGAGGAAUCAGGCAUCUAAAUAAAAAAGGCCUUCACUCUGAAGUUGGCUAGGCAUCAAAGCAGGAAUGAAAAGGAUCACAGCAUGUGAACCAGAUAACUUCUAAGAACGCUUUUUCACCAGCACCAACAAAGGAAGAGAUUGAGAAUCUCGUUUAGCUCCAGAUCUCAACCUUUUCUUUCUAACCAAGAUGUCCGCCCUUACCAUUUGAACACUUCUGAGAAUAAUUGAGGAACUCUUCCUUAGAAGUGAGAGAGGAUGGCCAGGUGUGGUGGCUCACAGUUGUAAUCCCAGCACUUUGGGAGACCAAGGCAGGAGGGUCUCUGGAACCUAGGAGUUCAAGACCAGCCUGAGCAACAGAGUAAGGUCCUGUCUACCAAAAAUUUAAAAAUGAACCACAUGUGGUAGUGCAUGUCUGUAGUCCAGCUACUCAGGAAGCUGAGGAAAAAGGAUAGUUUAAGCCCAGGAGGUUGAGGCUGCAGUGAGCCAUAAUUAUGCCACCGCUUCUACCUGAACCACAUGUCUCCAAAAAAAAAAAACUUUUAGAAUUCCUAUCUAUCUCAAAUAUUCCAAGGACCCAAUUCCUCAUUCUUAGGGAACCAUAACCUCUCACUUUUUUAGCAAGACAUUAGCAAGUUUAGAGGGGUUCCUGUGCACUGAAAAUUAAGUUGGCCAUAUGGUACCUGAUUCAUUAACUGAUUAUUUUUAACUAAUUACUGAAAACCUAUGUGACAAAGAUUGUGCUGGGCCCUGGGGAUACCAGAUCAAAUUCCCUUGAUCACUAUAUUCACGGACCUAACAGUUUAGUUGUAGAGACACUAUGUUGUGAUACACAGAGUUUUAACAAGACAUUAUCACAUUCAGACUUUCCCAGAAUAUCCCUAAGCUCUGUAUUGGUACAUAGAAAUGUUCUGAGAUGAAUGUUAAAAUGCAGCCCCCACGCUUCACCUUCUCAGAGUCUGUUAUGCCAUGUUUGUUAGAUGCCAUGAACCUAAAUUUUUCACAAGUUCCAAAACAUUUCUAAGGUAAGUGGUCUUCAUAUGACACUCUGGAAACACUGCUGUAAAGGGUGACAUUCUUCACUAAUGGAUUUUUUUAUGCAGUCCCCUAAGUAGGCCAGAUUGUAUUUCCUCCCAUUUUAAUAUAGGAAUUACUCCAAAUUAAAUAUCUGUGCUUCACUGUCUUUCUCUGGUAUUACAAAGGCCUUUGGGGAGCUGUUUUAAUUAAGUAAUUCAUGGAGAAAACACCUGUUCAGGUGUGCCUGGCUUUCCUUGGAAAACAAUUAUUAAAAACCAAAAUCCUACUGUUCCUGGAAGGAGAUGGGCAUCUCUCAUUUGAAGGCAUGGAGAAUAUCUGCAAAAGAGAAGAGGGCAGUGUGAGCAUAUGCUAGACUGCAUGUAGAUUCAUGCACCAUCUGAUAGUAUUGCUGCACAUAAGGAAGGCAGAUAGGCCUGAUUUCAUGCCAUCAUUCUAGGCACUGGAGAUGGCAAUGCAGAGCUUUUCCUUUUUUUCAAAUAAAUUUUAUUGUGUACAUUUGGGGCUAACAACAUGACUAAUGAGAUACACAUAGAUAGUAAAAGGAAGCUUUUUGAAUAGAAUAAUCCUAAAUUAUACUUCUAACUCAGAAGGCAUGACAUUAUGGGGCAAAUGCUUGACAGGCUUGAGUCCCACCUCCUUCAGGACAAGGGUACAUGUGAGUGGCCACAGAUAUAGGAGGGCCAGUUUUAGAACAAUGCCAAGACAGAGAGACAUCAUCAUACACCCAGGCCAUCUGAGGCUCCUGAGGGACUUUGAGCACCUAACCCACUACUGCUGAAGGCAAAACCGUGUCAACGAAUGCCGUCCUCUUCACCUUCCUUACUGGCACAGCCAAAUGCUCUGUUAAUGGUCUUUUUGUGUUCUAAGUCUUUUGCUCUCUCCCCAUAACAUGAGAAAAGGAGAAUACAGAUACAAUUGACAUUGUCAGACUAAUUUGACAAGACGUUAGCACAGCCUAUAACCAGAGAAAAGAAUCCCUCAAAUCCUUAAUAAAAAUUAGCUGGAAACUAUGUUGCAUUUUAAAUCGAUGUAAGUUCUUUUGACUCUAGCUAGAGGGAAAAAUAAAAAUAUCAGAAAGAGAUAAUGUAAUUGGGCUUCUGUUAAAUCAGAAUGUCCUAUGUUGCUAAGCUUUACGUGAAAGCUUAAAAACUGAUGGUUGGCAUGGACAUAAACAUGGGAACAGUAGACACUAGGACUACUGGAAGCAACAGAGGGGAAGGGAGGCAGAGUAAAACACUAUUGGGAACUAUGCUCACUCUCAGGGUGACAACAUCAUUCAUACCCCAAACCUCAGCAUCAUGCAAUAUACCCAUGUAACAAACCAGCACAUGUACCCCCAAAUUCAUAAAGUUGAAAUUAUUAAAAAGUAUUAAUGAUAGGUGGACAAUCUAAAAAGAGAUCUUGAGUGGCAUUCACGAUGACUUUGGUCUACAAUAUUUUAUUAAUAUAUCUAUAUAGAAGGCUCCACAAUUGAGUCAUCCAUCAAGUCAAAAAUUAUCCACUCAUUUGUGCCAUGAUGACUUUUCUUAUCAUUCACUCACAAAUAUUUAUGUACCAUAACAUAUGCAGAGCCCAGGGUGAGACACUAGAGAAGGUCACAAAGUUAAAUCACAGGAGAGCACCCUCCCCAUGUGGAGACGAUGUGCAUGUGAAUCAUGUCAUCUCACCACAUAUGUGGAACCCAUUACCUGCAUGCUCACUGGCAGCUCCUACAGUGAGGAGACAGUUGGGGCAGAGACAAGAAGAGAAGGAUUCUGGUAGAAAGCAGAGGAAAAAAUCUUGCAAUGAGUUAUAAGGGACAAAGUAGCCAUAAUUUGCUGAAGAGAAACCAGGAGUGCAUUCUAGGCACCAAAUCCAAAGGCCCAGAUUUUGAAUCAGAUGAAUCUUUCCCUGAUGAAACCACGGGGAAUUAUUUUUUUAAGUUCUAUUUUUAAAUAGGAAGCAAAUGCAAAGUAAAAAUAAGACAAUAUUGUCCACUGAUCGGAUUUGCGAUAUAAAAUAAUUAUAAUCAGAGCUGGUGAAUCAUGCUCUGAGGUUGCGUGUGAUUAGCUACAAUUCUUCUUUAGUGAGAAUGGGCAGUAUAUGUCCAUAGCCUAAAAUCCGUCAUACCCUUUAAGAUAAAAAUGCCCAUUCUAAAAAGUUACAUGGAUGUUGCUAAAUAUAAGGAACCUCAUUGUGGAAUUUUUAUAAAAUGGAAAAAUUACAAAAACCCAGAUAUCCAAUAAACAGGAAACUAGUUAAAUUGUGGCACAUCUGUAUAGUGACUAAAUUAUCAUAGAGAGAAUGUUUAAUAAGGUUAAAAAAUAUUCAUAACAGCUGAAGAAGGUGAUCCAAUUUUUCUUUUUAAAAUAUUUGCAUGAAAAGCAUUUAGAGAUGUAUUCACCAAAAUAUCAAUCAAUGAUGAUUCUUUGGGUUGUAAAAUUUAAAGGUCAUUUGUAUUUUUUUCUUUUUAUUCAUCUGUCAUUUCCAAAUUUUUUAUAAUGAACAGGUAUUACUUUAGAGACCAGAAAAACAUAAAGAGUAUUCAUUUAACCAAUAAGGGGACAGAAACAUUAGUUGGGUGAAGGUCGGUGGUUUACCAUUGCUCACAGUAUCAAGGUCAGAUUUGCUCACCUGGGGUGGCCCCACCUGCCAACCCAAUCCCCUCUCUCAUUAUGCUUCUGCAAGCUCUCUCAGCUGUAGCCAUGAAGACCUCCAGGUUUUUUGCCAUUUUCUAGCUACUACAGAGCCUUAAUAUAGUAAAUUAUAUUAUUUUUUCAAUUAUUAUUCCCACUUUUAAGGGAAAUGGCUGAGCUUUAGUCAGGAGUAGGCCAACGCAGCCUUUUGGUGCAGCAUGACUCAGCAGGUUUGGAGAACAGGCACACAACCCCUCCACACAUUGUGUAACCAUGCCAUAUGAGGUGCAUUAGGUGAUCACCUAUGUGAGCUUGUGCUUGGCUCAGAGCCACUAUUGUCUGUAAAACGUAUAAUUACCCUGUUAAUGCUGUACAUACGGCUCUCCCAUGCCCAGAGAGAGAGUAAUGCUAUGUUGAAACUGUCCACAAUUCCUUAAGUGUUUUUCCAGCUACCCGCCUCUCACCUGACUCCCCCUGGACCUCAGUUAGAACCUGACAAUUGGCGUCAUAAACAGAUCCUAAGGUGAGUGAGCCUUUGGUCCCCACAGAUUCCGGGUUGACCAUGUGGCCGCAACAUGGGUUUUGGUACCCAGCAGCAGCUAUACUGCUCAGAUGGGCUCUGGUAGAAAUCUGGGCAGCAGAAGAUGGGUCCUCCAUGAGCAUGGAGAAGGCACUGCUGCAGCUGGAGCACAGAGCACCAAGAAGGAGCAAGCUUUUGCUGGCAGAGUUGGAUGGCAUUUCUGGCUAUGAGAAGUACAUACCACGUCCCUGAGAGAAGAAACACAGGUAAGUUCCCUCCAGGCACAGGUGGGGCACCUGGAGGCCCAGCUACAUAGCUCAGAAAAACAGCUAGAAACUGCCAUGAAUGGGAACUCCAGGAGCAGGUGGAGCGCUUGAAGGCCCAACUACAGAGCUUGGAAAAGGAACUAGAGGCUGCCGUGAAUUCAGGCUUGGAUCCAUCUUCUCAGCCAGAGACCCCCCACUCGGUCUGAUACAAAGGAUGAAGAAUCCCCUGUUGCAGGCUUGCCCAGUGGUUCAUCAGUAGGUAGAUCAUGAACAACCAUUGGGCCCCCUCAGGGAUUCUCCCAUUGUAAUGCAAAAUACUGUAUAUACUGCCUCUACCCCAACUGAGUCACAGGAAUCAGGCAAGCAGUGCCACCAGCAUCCAGGGGAACCUCUGCCCACCUGGAUGCUUUGUUUGUGGGACAAGGGAGCAGAGAGUAUCUCCUGUUCUGCCUCUGAGAUGGAAAAGCUGGCCUCUAUCAUGACUCACCUCUCCCUCCAUCAGCAGUUGCAGGAAAGCAGUCAGUUGGCACAAGGGCAGGGUGACCACACACUGAUUGAGUGGCUAUGGGCAGCCAUACGGAUUUUGUGGAUCAAUGCCGGUGAAAUACCCAAAACUGUGAGUAAAUGGCAGUUAUAGGCCGAUUUGGUGCAAGUCAUCUGGGAGAUGGGUAUGAGGCAGGCUAGGUUUGACCUGAAUACCCAGGGGCUAGAUGAUGAAUGUUUCACCUCCCACAUGAGAGAUCUUGUGUUGGGUUCUGUGCCUUACAUGAGGGAGCUCGUGCUGGGUUCUGUGUUCACCUCCCACAUGAGGGAUCUCAUGUUGGGUUCUGUGCCCUCGUGUUUUGUUCUGUGCAUCUAUUAAGAUGAUUUGAGUGCCCUUGGCUCCCUAGCUGCUCUCCUCACCCCAUACAUAGGGCAUGCAUACACAAAGUGACCACUCACUUUGUGAGCCACUGUGGUGGCUCUCAGGGAAGCAGAAGGCUGCCAGUGGGACCAAGGGGUCCACAUCAUACAAAAGGCGAAGAUCCCCUGCCCUCAGGAGGCCCCCCCAUGGGAGAAAAGGGGGCUCCAAUGAAUGACACACACAGAUGUGAGUAGAUUCGAUUUUGGCCAGGGUUGACUAGGAUAAAAUCAAUAAACAGCCCAAUGAAGUACUCUUAACUUUGUGGAAACAGCUGUCUCUGAAGCACCAAUUCCAGAAAAUGCCCAAGGAGGAGAAGGAUAUUGCUGUGUGACCAGGUCCCACGCAAGCACUUCAGCUCAAAGACUACUUGCUGCGGCCAGGCAAAAAUGUAGAGCCUUUUCUGUUUGAUUAGGGAACAGGCCGAGGUGCCCAGCUUGGGGGAACAUCAGACGACCAGAGGCCACAUAUGGAAUUAGUGAUCCAUUGGUCCCCACCAAUAUACAGCAUGUGCCGGCUCUGGUGGAUACUGGCGCAGAUUGCAGCCUUGUUUAUGGGAACCUGGAUAAGUUUCUAGGCAAGCCUGCUUACACUGACAGUUAUGGAGGCCGGUCAGUGAAAGUGAAACCUGUAUCUCUGUACCUCGGCAUCUGCCACUUGGCUCCCCAUUUAUAUGCUAUAUAUGUCUCUCCCAUACCAGAAUACAUUCUGGGGGUGGGCAUUUUAUAUGCCCUGGUGUUAAAAACCACAGCCAGGGAAUUCAGAUGCCAGGUGCAUGUGGUGAAGCCAUUGCUAGAUGGACAUACACAUCACCAGCCUCCGGUCCUUCCACAGCCCUGAUGAGUUACUUCCACUCAUCAAUACUGUUCACUGGAUGGGCAUACAGAAAUAACUGAGACAAUUAAAAAGCUGGAAGAGGUGCAGAUAGUGCGUGAAAUCCAUAGCCCCUACAAUUCUUCAGUGUACCCAGUUAGAAAGCCUGAUGGAACUUAGCAGGUGACAGUGGACUCUCGGAAACUAGAUAAAGUAACACCCGUUUUGCAUGCAGCUGUACCAUCAGUCAUGGAUUUGAUGGACCGUUUGACAAUGGAACUGGGACAGUACCACUAUGCAGUGCACUUAACCAAUGCAUUUUUCUCCAGAGACAUGACUCCAGAGAGCCAGGAACAGUUCACCUUCAUGUGGGAUGGGUGACAAUGGACUUUUACAGUGUUGCCACAGGGCUGUGUGCACUACCGAAUGUCAUGGUCUAGUUGCCACAGAUUUAGACACCUGACAUUGUCCAGAAAGGGUCCAUCUAUUCCAUUAUAUUG